rnacentral:rRNA from 1 species
AUUGAACGCUGGCGGCAGGCUUAACACAUGCAAGUCGAACGAUGAUUUCCCAGCUUGCUGGGAAUGAUUAGUGGCGGACGGGUGAGUAACAUUUAGGAAUCUGCCUAGUAGUGGGGGAUAGCUCGGGGAAACUCGAAUUAAUACCGCAUACGACCUACGGGUGAAAGGGGGCGCAAGCUCUUGCUAUUAGAUGAGCCUAAAUCAGAUUAGCUAGUUGGUGGGGUAAAGGCCCACCAAGGCGACGAUCUGUAACUGGUCUGAGAGGAUGAUCAGUCACACCGGAACUGAGACACGGUCCGGACUCCUACGGGAGGCAGCAGUGGGGAAUAUUGGACAAUGGGGGCAACCCUGAUCCAGCCAUGCCGCGUGUGUGAAGAAGGCCUUUUGGUUGUAAAGCACUUUAAGCAGGGAGGAGAGGCUAAUGGUUAAUACCCAUUAGAUUAGACGUUACCUGCAGAAUAAGCACCGGCUAACUCUGUGCCAGCAGCCGCGGUAAUACAGAGGGUGCGAGCGUUAAUCGGAAUUACUGGGCGUAAAGCGAGUGUAGGUGGCUCAUUAAGUCACAUGUGAAAUCCCCGGGCUUAACCUGGGAACUGCAUGUGAUACUGGUGGUGCUAGAAUAUGUGAGAGGGAAGUAGAAUUCCAGGUGUAGCGGUGAAAUGCGUAGAGAUCUGGAGGAAUACCGAUGGCGAAGGCAGCUUCCUGGCAUAAUAUUGACACUGAGAUUCGAAAGCGUGGGUAGCAAACAGGAUUAGAUACCCUGGUAGUCCACGCCGUAAACGAUGUCUACUAGCCGUUGGGGUCCUUGAGACUUUAGUGGCGCAGUUAACGCGAUAAGUAGACCGCCUGGGGAGUACGGCCGCAAGGUUAAAACUCAAAUGAAUUGACGGGGGCCCGCACAAGCGGUGGAGCAUGUGGUUUAAUUCGAUGCAACGCGAAGAACCUUACCUGGUCUUGACAUAGUGAGAAUCUCUCAGAGAUGAGAGAGUGCCUUCGGGAACUCACAUACAGGUGCUGCAUGGCUGUCGUCAGCUCGUGUCGUGAGAUGUUGGGUUAAGUCCCGCAACGAGCGCAACCCUUUUCCUUAUUUGCCAGCGGGUUAAGCCGGGAACUUUAAGGAUACUGCCAGUGACAAACUGGAGGAAGGCGGGGACGACGUCAAGUCAUCAUGGCCCUUACGACCAGGGCUACACACGUGCUACAAUGGUAGGUACAGAGGGUUGCUACACAGCGAUGUGAUGCUAAUCUCAAAAAGCCUAUCGUAGUCCGGAUUGGAGUCUGCAACUCGACUCCAUGAAGUCGGAAUCGCUAGUAAUCGCAGAUCAGAAUGCUGCGGUGAAUACGUUCCCGGCCCU